UACGGGGGGGGGCAAGCGUUGUUCGGAAUUACUGGGCGUAAAGGGCUCGUAGGCGGCCAACUAAGUCGGAUGUGAAAUCCCCAAGCUUAACUUGGGAACUGCAUCCGAUACUGGAUGGCUUGAAUCCGGGAGAGGGAUGCAGAAUUCCAGGUGUAGCGGUGAAAUGCGUAGAUAUCUGGAGGAAUACCGGUGGCGAAGGCGGCAUCCUGGACCGGCAUUGACGCUGAGGAGCGAAAAGCUAGGGGGAGCAAACGGG
rnacentral:rRNA from 1 species